rnacentral:lncRNA from 1 species
GUAGUUCGUGAUUAGCAUAAUGACGGUGAUUUUAUGACUGGCAGAUUGGAGGUACAAAUUAGCAUUACAUCUAGGUAAAACCCCACCAAUGAAAAGUUGAGAAAAAGAGCUAUGAAAGUCCAAUUUAUACAGAUGUGUGAACAUCUUAGGAGGUCUUUUAUCUAGAUUGUAUAUGUUAAUUUAGAAAGAAAAUAAUAAAAAAUAAGUAAUGAGGCA